rnacentral:rRNA from 1 species
GAUCAUGGCUCAAGAACGAACGCUGGCGGCAUGCCUAACACAUGCAAGUCGAACGAACCCGUUCGGGGUUAGUGGCGCACGGGUGCGUAACACGUGGGAAUCUGCCCUUUGCUUCGGAAUAACAGUUAGAAAUGACUGCUAAUACCGGAUGAUGUCGUAAGACCAAAGAUUUAUCGGCAAAGGAUGAGCCCGCGUAGGAUUAGGUAGUUGGUGGGGUAAAGGCCUACCAAGCCGACGAUCCUUAGCUGGUCUGAGAGGAUGAUCAGCCACACUGGGACUGAGACACGGCCCAGACUCCUACGGGAGGCAGCAGUGGGGAAUAUUGGACAAUGGGCGAAAGCCUGAUCCAGCAAUGCCGCGUGAGUGAUGAAGGCCUUCGGGUUGUAAAGCUCUUUACCAGGGAUGAUAAUGACAGUACCUGGAGAAUAAGCUCCGGCUAACUCCGUG